rnacentral:lncRNA from 13 species
CUGGACUGCUUUUAGGUUGCCCACUGUUUUGAUGAUGUUUGUGGCUUCAUGGAAGCGUUUUGAUUUUAAGCAGACAAUCCAUGUUUGAACACCUGUUGGAAAAGAGGCACUUUGCCACAUUCACAAAAUGCUAAGAAAUUGCCAAUAAGCGGAUUACAUGUUUAUAAACACAAUAAAGAAGGUUAAGUAACAUCUUACAUUUUAAUUAUGAGACAGUCUCAGAAUUCAAAUGUAACAUGAAUUGUUUUCUCGGUUCUGUUUUAACUGAUAUGGUCCCUUCUCUACUUGCUUUUGAGCAUGUAAAAAUACAGCAACCAGACUGACUUUAUCUUCUUUACGUGCAGAGCUUCAAGUUCAGGCCUGAAAGCAUGUAAAUCCUGUUUAAACUUAUGUAUGCUCUGACCUUAUCCUUUCUGAGUUGUCUACCUCUUUUCCAUCAGUAAUCUCAAGAAACUUUUACUUCCCCCUCACUACAUUUGAAGAUGAAGUAACAUGGCAAAGUUCACAAGGAAGAUACGGAAAAUGAAAAAUGAAUUCCUUUAUUGCAAGAAAUCAUGGUUAUUUAUUGAUUCAGAAAGAAAACGGACUGAUAUUCUCUUGGGUGUUCUGAACAACAUGACACACUAGAGGCGCAAUGGAAUACAGGCCUAUCACCCUGUUGAAUUGCCCUGUUUGGGAUGAAGGUGAUAAUGUCUCUAAGUGGCUUCAAUAAUCUACCUCUCCUCACUUACCCUGGGAAAACCAUUUGAGAUUAUUUUGCUCUGGAAAAGAGCAGAAAGAGAUUGAGCUUGAAACAGCUCUAAAGGGUUGGAGUUUAGUUACAUAAAUCCUACAGAGACAAAAUACCUGCUGAUCUCUUUAGCUUUACUGAAUCUGCAAAACGAAGACAGCAACUCAAGUACAUCUUGACUUUAGGACUUUGUUUACAUUUGAAACAAUUGUUGAAGAUGGGACUGUGAGAGAAAGAUGGUGAUGAGAAAAUUUAAGGUAAGGGUUUUAUUUGGUCUAAUUGCUUAUUUUGAGAUGAUUUUUGGUAGUAUAAUAGCAUGUGGCAUAUAGUAAUAGAGUAAUUCGUAAAAAAAAAAAAUCUUAUCUCCA